GGAAGGAGGUGAAGAAAGCCUGAGACCAUUUGGAGGGACAGCUCUUCCAGGUGGAAGCUGAAACCCAGCAGACCAGCGAGGCUGAACCAACUAUGAGAUAGACCUGGAGAUUGGCUUUGUACUGAGAGGGUGUGGUUGAGGACGGCUUUACCCACUUUACAGGCUCUCAGACUUGGUCAGCCGAGGACCAGUUGAGCUGGCACAGGAUGCUCCAGACACACACCUGGUCCAUUGGCCUGGCUGCACACCCAGGGGGCAGUGUGGCUGCUGACAGAGAGCUCAGAUCCCCGAGGAGGAGGAGACACUGCUGCUGUCCCAGAGGGGUUGAGGCCGAGCAGAAGUGAAGGCUCACUGCUCUGAAAACCAAGGAGGCGAAGGGGCCAGUGAAGCAGAAACUGCAGAGCCUGGUCAAAGGUCUGCAUGGAGGUGAGGAGCAAGGCCUGCCAGCCCCACCUGUUUGUCACCUAGGGCUGGAGUCACAAGAGGUGGAGGCCCAAGAAGUCCUGUGACAGAGAAUAUUCAAUGGCCCAUCUCACCUGGGAGGAAUGGUGUCAUCUCUGAGGUGAGGUCCUACUCAUCUUGGCCUUAGAAAAUGUAUCCAGACAUUGUGACUCACUUUUCUGUGACUUUCUUUUUGAAUAUACUUCCAAACUUCCAGAAAAAAUUGCCAAGAAUUACACAAAGAACUCAUAGAUAUCUUUGCCCCAGAGUCGCCAUUGUUUGUCUUUGCCUCAUUUGCAAAUGAUCACUCUGUGUGUGUGCGUGUGUAUGUAGUACAUAAUUUUUCUGGACCAUUUGAGCAAUUGGCAGUUUCAUCCCUCUUUGCUAAUAUUUCUGU